GACGAACGCUGGCGGCGUGCUUAACACAUGCAAGUCGAGCGGUAAGGCCCUUUCGGGGGUACACGAGCGGCGAACGGGUGAGUAACACGUGGGUGACCUGCCCUCAGCUCUGGGAUAAGCCUGGGAAACCGGGUCUAAUACCGGAUAUGACUCCAUGACGCAUGUUGUGGGGUGAAAGCCUUGUGCGGCUGAGGAUGGGCCCGCGGCCUAUCAGCUUGUUGGUGGGGUGANGGCCUACCAAGGCGACGACGGGUAGCCGGCCUGAGAGGGCGACCGGCCACACUGGGACUGAGACACGGCCCAGACUCCUACGGGAGGCAGCAGUGGGGAAUCUUGCGCAAUGGGCGAAAGCCUGACGCAGCGACGCCGCGUGAGGGAUGACGGCCUGG
rnacentral:rRNA from 1 species